AAUCCUGCUCAGUACAAGAGGAUCCACAGGUUCAGACAUUUGGUGUAUGUGCUUGGCUGAGGAGCCAAUGGGGUGAAGCUACCAUCUGUGGGAUUAUGACUGAAUGCCUCUAAGAAUCAUAGUCCUG
rnacentral:ncRNA from 1 species